UCCUACGGGAGGCAGCAGUGGGGAAUAUUGCACAAUGGGCGAAAGCCUGAUGCAGCGACGCCGCGUGAGUGAAGAAGUAUUUCGGUAUGUAAAGCUCUAUCAGCAGGGAAGAAAAUGACGGUACCUGACUAAGAAGCCCCGGCUAACUACGUGC
rnacentral:rRNA from 1 species